UAUUUAGCUGUUAACUAAAAUUUCGUGAGGUAGAAGCUCACCAAUCUAG
rnacentral:tRNA from 1 species